rnacentral:rRNA from 1 species
UACGUAGGGUGCGAGCGUUAAUCGGAAUUACUGGGCGUAAAGCGUGCGCAGGCGGUUUUGUAAGUCUGUCGUGAAAGCCCCCGGGCUCAACCCUGGGGAAUGGCGAUGGAGACUGCAAGGCUUGAAUCUGGCAGAGGGGGGUAGAAUUCCACGUGUAGCAGUGAAAUGCGUAGAGAUGUGGAGGAACACCGAUGGCGAAGGCAGCCCCCUGGGUCAAGAUUGACGCUCAUGCACGAAAGCGUGGGGAGCAAACAGGG